GUCUAUGGCCAUACCACCCUGAAAGCGCCCGAUCUUGUCUGAUCUCAGAAGCUAAGCAGGGUUGGUUCUAGUUAGUACUUGGAUGGGAGACCACCUGGGAAUACUGCGUGCUGUAGGCU
ensembl:rRNA 5S_rRNA 5S ribosomal RNA